GACGAACGCUGGCGGCGUGCCUAAUACAUGCAAGUCGAGCGAACAGAAGGGAGCUUGCUCCCGGAUGUUAGCGGCGGACGGGUGAGUAACACGUGGGUAACCUGCCUGUAAGACUGGGAUAACUCCGGGAAACCGGAGCUAAUACCGGAUAGUUCCUUGAACCGCAUGGUUCAAGGAUGAAAGACGGUUUCGGCUGUCACUUACAGAUGGACCCGCGGCGCAUUAGCUAGUUGGUGGGGUAAUGGCUCACCAAGGCGACGAUGCGUAGCCGACCUGAGAGGGUGAUCGGCCACACUGGGACUGAGACACGGCCCAGACUCCUACGGGAGGCAGCAGUAGGGAAUCUUCCGCAAUGGACGAAAGUCUGACGGAGCAACGCCGCGUGAGUGAUGAAGGUUUUCGGAUCGUAAAGCUCUGUUGUUAGGGAAGAACAAGUGCGAGAGUAACUGCUCGCACCUUGACGGUACCUAACCAGAAAGCCACGGCUAACUACGUGCCAGCAGCCGCGGUAAUACGUAGGUGGCAAGCGUUGUCCGGAAUUAUUGGGCGUAAAGGGCUCGCAGGCGGUUUCUUAAGUCUGAUGUGAAAGCCCCCGGCUCAACCGGGGAGGGUCAUUGGAAACUGGGAAACUUGAGUGCAGAAGAGGAGAGUGGAAUUCCACGUGUAGCGGUGAAAUGCGUAGAGAUGUGGAGGAACACCAGUGGCGAAGGCGACUCUCUGGUCUGUAACUGACGCUGAGGAGCGAAAGCGUGGGGAGCGAACAGGAUUAGAUACCCUGGUAGUCCACGCCGUAAACGAUGAGUGCUAAGUGUUAGGGGGUUUCCGCCCCUUAGUGCUGCAGCUAACGCA
rnacentral:rRNA from 1 species